rnacentral:rRNA from 1 species
CCCUUAGAUGUUCUGGGCCGCACGCGUGCUACACUGAUGCAUUCAACGAGUCUAAAACCUGGUCUGAUAGGGCUGGGUAAUCUUUUGAAAGUGCAUCGUGAUUGGGAUAGAUGAUUGCAAUUCUUCAUCUUCAACGAGGAAUGCCUAGUAAACGCAAGUCAUCAGCUUGCAUUGAUUACGUCCCUGCCCUUUGUACACACCGCCCGUCGCUCCUACCGAUUGAAUGAUCCGAUGAAUACCAUGGAUUGAGAGUACGAAUAGGUUCGCUUAUUUCUGCUGCUCGAGAAGUGGAGUAAAUCUUAUCAUUUAGAGAAAGGAGAAGUCGUAACA